rnacentral:rRNA from 1 species
CAGCCGCCACGGUAAUACGUAGGUCCCGAGCGUUGUCCGGAUUUACUGGGCGUAAAGCGGGCGCAGACGGUUACUUAAGCAGGAUGUGAAAUCCCCGGGCUCAACCUGGGAAUUGCGUUCUGAACUGGGUGGCUAGAGUGUGUCAGAGGGGGGUAGAAUUCCACGUGUAGCAGUGAAAUGCGUAGAGAUGUGGAGGAAUACCGAUGGCGAAGGCAGCCCCCUGGGAUAGCACUGACGUUCAUGCCCGAAAGCGUGGGUAGCGAACAGGAUUAGAUACCCCGGUAGUCCCUGUCUCUUAUAC